AGUGAACGCUGGCGGCGUGCUUAACACAUGCAAGUCGAACGAGAACGGAAUAUAGCUUGCUAUAUUUGUCAGCUAAGUGGCGCACGGGUGAGUAAUGUAUAGAUAACCUGCCCUUAAGAAAGGAAUAACAGUUGGAAACGACUGCUAAUGCCCUAUAUGCCUUUAAUACAUAAGUAUGCAAGGGAAACGCUUUAGUGCUUAAGGAUGGGUAUGUAUGGUAUCAGCUUGUUGGUGAGGUAUGGCUCACCAAGGCUAUGACGCCUAACUGGUUUGAGAGGAUGAUCAGUCACACUGGAACUGAGACACGGUCCAGACUCCUACGGGAGGCAGCAGUGGGGAAUAUUGCACAAUGGACGAAAGUCUGAUGCAGCAACGCCGCGUGGAGGAUGACACAUUUCGGUGCGUAAACUCCUUUUAUAUAGGAAGAUAAUGACGGUACUAUAUGAAUAAGCACCGGCUAACUCCGUGCCAGCAGCCGCCGUAA
rnacentral:rRNA from 1 species